UGACGGAGGGUGCAAGCGUUUAUCCGGAAUUCACUGGGUUUAAAGGGUGCUGUAGGUGGGAAUGUAAGUCAGUGGUGAAAAUCAUCUGAGCUUAACUCGGAAACUGCCAUUGAUACUAUGUUUCUUGAAUAUUCGUGGAGGUUAGCGGAAUAUGUCAUGUAGCGGUGAAAUGCUUAGAUAUGAACAUAGAACACCGGAUUGCGAAGGCAGCUAACUACGGGAUGAAUUGACACUGGAUGCACGAAAGCCGUGGGGAUCAAACAGGA
rnacentral:rRNA from 1 species